rnacentral:rRNA from 1 species
GGAGGAAAGUAGGGGAUCGCAAGACCUUGCGCUAAAGGAGCGGCCGAUGUCUGAUUAGUUAGUUGGUGGGGUAAAGGCCUACCAAGGCAACGAUCAGUAGCUGGUCUGAGAGGACGAUCAGCCACACUGGGACUGAGACACGGCCCAGACUCCUACGGGAGGCAGCAGUGGGGAAUUUUGGACAAUGGGCGAAAGCCUGAUCCAGCCAUGCCGCGUGAAUGAAGAAGGCCUUCGGGUUGUAAAGUUCUUUUAGUUGGAAAGAAAAAAUUAUGAUGAAUAAUCAUAAUUCAUGACGGUACCGACAGAAAAAGCACCGGCUAACUACGUGCCAGCAGCCGCGGUAAUACGUAGGGUGCAAGCGUUAAUCGGAAUUACUGGGCGUAAAGGGUGUGCAGGCGGCCUUUGUUUAAGGUGCGAAAGAAUGGUUGG